AGUCGAACGAGAAAUUCCGACUUCGGUUGGAAGAGUAAAGUGGCGCACGGGUGAGUAACACGUGGGUAACCUGCCCUUGAAUUUGGGAUAACUUCGCGAAAGCGUUGCUAAUACCAGAUAUUAUUAAUUUAGCUCCGGCUUUUUUAAUGAAAGGUGACCUCUUCUUGAAAGUUGCCGUUCAGUGGAUGGGCUCGCGUACCAUUAGCUAGUUGGUGGGGUAAUGGCCUACCAAGGCUGCGAUGGUUAGCUGGUCUGAGAGGAUGAUCAGCCACACUGGAACUGAAACACGGUCCAGACUCCUACGGGAGGCAGCAGUGAGGAAUUUUGCGCAAUGGGGGAAACCCUGACGCAGCAACGCCGCGUGAGUGAAGAAGGCUCUCGGGUCGUAAAGCUCUGUCAGAUAGGAAAAAAGUUCAUAUGUAAAUAGCUUAUGAAUCUGAUGGUACUAUCAGAGGAAGCACCGGCUAACUCCGUGCCAGCAGCCGCGGUAAUACGGAGGGUGCAAGCGUUGAUUCGGAAUUACUGGG
rnacentral:rRNA from 1 species